UCCCUGGUGGCUUAGUGGAUAAAGUGUCUGCCCACAAUGUGGGAGACCCAGGUUUGAUCCCUGGGUAGGGAG
rfam:TPA: Bos taurus chromosome 2, whole genome shotgun sequence.